GCAUGGUGUCCAAAACAGUCAGCCAA
rnacentral:piRNA from 1 species